AGGACGAACGCUGGCGGCGUGCUUAAAACAUGCAAGUCGAACGAGACCUUUGGUCUAGUGGCGAACGGCGGAGUAAUACAUAAGCAACCUGCCUCAAAGACCGGGAUAGCCCCUCGAAAGAGGGAUUAAUACCGGAUGUGGCCCCUGAUAGGCAUCUAUCGGGGAUUAAACGAGCAAUCGGCUUUGAGAGGGGCUUGUGGCCUAUCAGCUUGUUGGUGGGUAAUGGCCUACAGGCUUCGA
rnacentral:rRNA from 1 species